rnacentral:rRNA from 1 species
AACCCCUACCUUUAGUUGCCAUCAGGUUAAGCUGGGGACUCUAAAGGAACUGCCUACGCAAGUAGUGAGGAAGGCGGGGAUGACGUCAAAUCAGCACGGCCCUUACGUCCAGGGCUACACACGUGCUACAAUGGCCGAUACAGAGGGCAGCUACCUGGUGACAGGAUGCAAAUCUCCAAAGUCGGUCUCAGUUCGGAUCGGAGUCUGCAACCCGACUCCGUGAAGUUGGAUUCGCUAGUAAUCGCGCAUCAGCCAUGGCGCGGUGAAUACGUUCCCGGGCCUU